UGAGAAUUGUACAUUGUGUGUUUGUAUUAAUUUUGAUGUAUGGUUAUAAUGGGAGUCAAUCAUGGGAUACUUCUUUUGCUAUUCAAGUGAUUAUAUCAACUAACAUUGCUGAAGAAUAUGGAGCAACUUUAAGAAAAGCACAUGACUACAUAAAGGAUUCGCAGGUCUUAGAAGAUUGUCCUGGAGAUCUAAAUUUUUGGUAUUGUCACAUUUCAAAAGGUGCUAGGCCAUUCUCAACUGCAGAUCAUGGAUGGCCUAUUUCUGAUUACACUGCAGAAGGAUUGAAGGUCAAGUUAGAACAAACAGUUCCAUUCUAUAUAAUGGAAAAAAUUUAUGAUAUCUAUUUCUUUGUGCAGGCUGUUUUAUUACUAUAAACAUUCCCAUCAGAAACAGUUGGGAAGUCGUUAGAUGUGAAGCAGUUAUAUGAUGCUGUAAAUGUUCUCCUUUCCUUACAGAAUACUGAUGGUGGCUUUGCAACUUAUGAAUUAACUACAUCCUACCAGUGGUUGGAGGUAACUAUUAUAACUUCUUAAGGCUUCUUUCUUUUACUUUUACCUUUAGUUUUAAAUAAUUCUUCUUACCAUGAAUUUGCUAUGUCUUGAAAGUUUGAAUUAUUGCCAAGUACCCCCUUAUUAAGAGCUUCAUGACUAAGCUGGCCCUGUUCUCCCAGUGAUAUUUGAACUCAAAUACAAUGAAUGUUUAGGCUUAGCCUUCACUUAGAAAAAAAUUAUAAAUUACUUGUGAAUUGUUUUUCCUCGUUUAUGUUCUUAGACAGAUAUUAUAUAACUCAGCCCUAGAAUCUUUUGUGACUUUUGGCUGCACCAAUAUUGUGAUUCAUACUAAUCCAUUGGAAGAAAACCAUCAGUGUUUGGAAUGACACUUUAAUUCCACCUUGAAUUUCAUUGUAUGGAAACCCCUUGAAUUGAGAUGGCUAAAAUACCUUAGGAAUUUUUAGUUCAGAAAAAUAACAUUGAUUCACAAACUUUAAAAAAGCUGAAUUUUCACUGAGAUGAGAUACUUCCAGAAUCAUACAUCUGAAGUUGUGAAGUAAACGUAGAAUAGAAUGUGGCACUUUGAAGCUUUGAAGUUUUAUGUAAUUCUUAAAAGAAAGAGUUCUGUAUACGAACAUUUCUGCAUGAUAUGUGCACCUGACUUUAUUGUUCUUCCAUUUUGUUG